ACAACUGUUCAGAAUCAAGAAGACACAUUGAUAAGAUUGCUUCUGAUUAGAACCUUUCUAAUUCAUGAAACUUCCUUACUUCAGAAAGCUCAUAUUUCAGAAUCAACAAAUAAAUUGUCAGGACCUUAUCUAGAGUUCUGAGAGCUUAGCAUUCUGAAAUUCAUCUUUUCAUUCUGGACAGGAGUCCAUAAAUAAGUUUUUCAGAAUGAAAAUGAAUCUAUCCUUAACAAGGGGUUUUGUAAAGAUAUCAUCCCA
rnacentral:lncRNA from 1 species